ACUUAGCUCAGCAGCCAAAUGAAGGAGGAGGUCGCUCCACUUCUACCUUCAGAAGGCUGUCUCCUGCGAGGACCAGAAGUUGAGCCAAGGCACAUGGAACUUACAAUAGCAGAUGGUAAGAACCAGGGCAGAAGGAGAACUCCUGAAGCCUCCGAAGGAAGGAAAUCAUUACAGGGCCCUACAGAAGUAGGUCAUGUGCUACAGCUGCUCAUAGUUUAAGAGGAAGAAACAUGGGAUCUCAAACCUGGAACACGACUCUUUCAAAAUGCUUGUGAGCAACCCAAGAAAAACAUCCUCCUGAGGCUUAUCUAAUAACCAUGAUCUCUAAUCGUCUCAAUGUGUGCUCAUGUUUCCUUAGGAGUUUGCACCCACUUCUCAGAGCUAACGAGAUGCCGAAACAGAACACAGAAAAAAGUAAUGAAGGAGAUUUAAUAGUUUGUGUUAAAGCUAAUAUGGUCCAUUAGGGGCUGUCAUUUUUAUA
rnacentral:lncRNA from 1 species